ensembl:ncRNA
UAGCACCACAUGAUUCGGCUU